AGAGCGAACGCUGGCGGCGUGCUUAACACAUGCAAGUCGAACGCGCAGCAUUCUGUAGCAAUACAGGGUGUGGGCGCGUGGCGAACGGGUGCGUAACACGUGGAUAACCUUCCUUGAGGUGGGGAAUAACCCAGUGAAAAUUGGGCUAAUACCGCAUAACAUCGCGAUGGCACAUGCUGAUGCGAUCAAAGGCGCAAGUCGCCACAAGAGGGAUCCGCGGCCGAUUAGCUUGUUGGCGAGGUAAUGGCUCACCAAGGCAAUGAUCGGUAGCCGGACUGAGAGGUUGGCCGGCCACACUGGAACUGAGACACGGCCCAAACUCCUACGGGAGGCAGCAGUGGGGAAUAUUGGACAAUGGGCGCAAGCCUGAUCCAGCCAUGCCGCGUGAGUGAUGAAGGCCCUAGGGUUGUAAAGCUCUUUGUGCGGGAAGAUAAUGACGGUACGCAAGAAUAAGCCCGGACUAACUUCGUG
rnacentral:rRNA from 1 species